rnacentral:lncRNA from 1 species
UCUCUUCCCAGGAAGCUAGUGGAGGACCUGCAACGACAAAACCAAAGAAUAAAGCAAGAGGAUAGACAUCAUGGAAAUAACUACAUGGACCUCAGGGACAUCUUUGAGCAACAUUGUGAUUGGAUUCAACCAGGAACAACAGUUUUAAGGUAUUUAAUAUUUUGUAUUCCUUUGAAUAGGAUGCUGCUGAGUUUUAAAGAAUUUGGAAGUCAUUGUACUAGGGAAACCUAAAAAUGCGUGUAACUACUUCUUCAGUAGCCUUGUGCAAUUUGGCAGUGUCCCCAGAAAUUCCCAG